rnacentral:lncRNA from 1 species
CAAAAAUGAAAUUUUUUGGACUUCUAUUUGCUGAGCACUAAGUAAGUGUCAGGUGCUGCGUUAAGAACUUUAUGAAGAUUGUUUUUAUUUAGUUAUCACAAUAACUCUAAGGUUGGAAUUAUUUUCCCAUUUUACAUAUGAGGAAACAGCCACAGAAAAAAUAAGCAAAAAUCGAGGGUCACUCAACUAGUAAUCUGAAGGGUAGCAGGGAUCUGAGCCCACGUUUGCAUGGUGGCAAGGCGCAGGCUCUUAAUCACUGCACCCUGGUGUCCGUCUGUAGACUUCUAAGCAAGAUAAUUCUGCUUUGUUUGAUAUGUGAAAUAGACUGCCCAACUUCCUACAAUUCCUUCCUUUAAUAUCUUCACAGACACGUGAGGUUAUUUUCCUCCUUCCUGCCUGGGCCAUCCACUCUCCCGUCAGUUACUGUGCUUCAGUGUUUUUCGGUCUUCAGCUCUGUUUCAGCUGUGUUUUAAUCUUUACUUGCAUCAGGUAACUGCAGUAGUGCCUGACAUCUUGGAGCAACAAAGCAGAGGACUCCAGGCUAUGAGGGGAAAUUCUUUCUUAGUGUUUGGAAAAGCAAGUUUUCCAUAGCUUAAAUUUUGCAAUAACAGGAGGCCUUUUGAGUCCAAUGAAUAUGGCAACUCUUUGGAGAAAUAUAAAUUGAUCUCACAGUGCACAUUAUAAAAGCCCAUUUGUCUCUAAAUGGGUUCACGUGAGACAUAGUUUAUUCCACAGGUUAACUUUCUAAAUUAAACCCUUCUCUAAAGUCAAAACACUAAGAAGAACCAGGCUUCAUAAACGAAUAAAGGAUUUUUUCACUAAAUAACAAAAACAGCAUAAAGUUGAAAGGUCCACUGGGCAGAUCCAAAAUGUGGGAACAAUUCAUAAUUGAGGGCCUAAUGUUCCAUUUUUAAAAAAGUCUCUUUGAGGUAUCAUCAGACAAACUUAAAAAUUCUCCACCGCUGGCCAUUUCCAAGUACAGAUGCCAAUUUGACCACACAUUUUAAACAUGUGUCUGGAGAAUUUUAUGUAGCUCCUUUUACAAACUUAAAGAGAAAUAUAUUCUCUGUUACCAAGAAAAUUGGUCUAUUGGGAGGAUUUAGAAAUGGAAAAAAUGUAGAAAAUAAUCCGCAAGUAAAUACGAAGGCAGUUUCUAUUUGUAUCUAUGCCUGCGCUGGUUAUAAGUUAGGCUCUUUUGAAGACUACACAUACACAUUAAGCAUAAAUGCAUUUUGGAAGAAAGAUAAGAAGAAAGAAGCCAUCACUAGAGGAUGGCAUAAGAAGAAAUCAAAGCCAUCUCACUGAGCAGUUGUGGCUAAAGCGUAUCUUCAGCUAAGACUGCUAUGUGGUGAGCCCUGCCCUGUAAAAAGGCAUAUUGAUGGCCACUCAAAGGGACAAGAAAUCAUAAACCAAGAUGAUGAUGGUGGAGCUCAAUUGCAACCAGAGACGUAUGUUUUCCAUAUACACAUAGAAGAGGUACUUGUUAAUUUUUGCUUUAUCCUUUAUCUUUGAAAUUUAAAUUUAAGUCUUUUAAAUUUUGCCUUACUUAUUAGAUAAUUCUUUAAUUAUCAGACGAUUUUUCAUUUAUCUCUCUGUUUUUACAUUUAUCUCUAUUUUUUACUUAAAGCUCAUUAUAACCAACUUUGAACCUAUAUAUUGCCUGAGUGUUUAAACCAAUUUCUCUGUUUCAGAGAAUGGGAAUUUCAAAAUGAGCAAGGUCGACUGUUGUUGGAAGAUAAAAAUAACCCACUGCGACUGUGGACCAGACUUAUAGGAGUUGGUCCAUGACUAAGACCACAGGUUGGCAGUGGCAAAGGGCAUUCAGCCUGUAGGCACAAGGCCAUGCCCCCAGCACCACAGCUCCUGGAGUAGGAAGGGUGACUGAGGCAGUGACAGACACGGCCCAGAAAAAGAGGAAUGGAGGAUGGGUCAUAAUGUGGGCUCCAGAACAACUGUGUUCUCUCUUCACCAGCACCCCAGAGUCUGAAUGAUGCCUCUGAGUCUCAGAAAGGAUAAGGGGCCUGCUGCAAAGCGUUUAGUUCAUUGAUGGUGGAGCCAGGCUAGAACCCUGUCUCCUCACCCCCACUCUGAUGUUCCCUCCGUUGAACAACACCAACUCUCUGAAAUCAAUAGGGUAAGAGAGGUUUAUUGUUUCUUCUUUUCAAUGCUGUCAUGGGAGGGAGACUGAAUGCCAGCGAAGAUGACAAGAAGGACCCUGUUGUACCAGCAGUGUAUAAAACCCAACUCUGUACAGAUGGUUUUAGCAUUUUCCCUCAUGUUCCUUCCCUGUUCUUUUUCUUGGUUGGUAUCCCACUGCAUGUGUCCUAGGAGACCGAGGUAGAACUGCCAAUUGCCACUCUGGCUAAGGGGCUCCAUGGUUUCCAUUCAGAGGUAGGGGUUAUAAUUCCACAUUUGAAAUUUGGUUUGGAUUGAAUUUUGGGUCACAAUUCUUAUAUUCAAAAGGAAAAAAAAAUUCUUCUCCACAAGAGCUUUUUUUUUUUUUUUUUUUAAGUUUUCAAGUUUUAUGUAGAAAGAAGAAAAAAGUCACAGGUCCAGAUAAUUAUAAAUUAGUUUUGGUGAUGGUCAUAAGCAUCUUUUUUCAAAGAUCAUUGUUCUAAAUAGCACAGAUCAACUAUUGGAAUGUCAUCAGGAACUAGUCUUCUGGAAACUGUAGGAAAUCUGAUAUGGAUAGAAGAGGAACUCACAGAUCAGAGCAUCUAUGUUGUCCCAAUUUCCAACUGCUAAAUGAAAGAGCCUUGAGAAGCACCCUGCGUUUGUAUAUGGCUAUUGAGACACAGACUGAAGUAUUUUGGGGUGAAAGGCCAUAAUAUCUACUUCUUUCAAGUGGUUCAAAGACAACAACAAAAGAGGUCUGAGUUCCAAGGGGAGGAAUGAUUUCACUGAACUGGAAGUUAAAACUGCUGCCCAACCAUGGUGGACUCCUUGUGUCUCUGAAAUAACAGGCAAAGAGGGGAGUUACUGUGCUGGCUGGAGUGACUGAUCCUGACUACAAGGGGAAAUUGCACUGCUACUCCACAAUGGAGAGUCGUUGUACCACGUUACAUGCUUACCAGCAGAACCUGAGAAUUCCAGUUCCUUCACAUUAGUAAGAUUCCUGCUCUUGCAGUUGGAAAAGGCCGGGACAGAGAAAGAGGAUUCUGCUAGGGGCAAGACGAAGAGCAGGGUCAGCAAACAUUGCUGCCCAGAGAGAGGCAAGAUGUGGUCAUAAGAAAAAGGGCACAUUCAUAGAACACAUAUUCACAAAGAAUAUAUUCUCAAGGAAAACGACCUUUUUAUAAAUACAUUCUUCUUAUAAAUAAGAAGCUACCCCCAGCUUCCUCCUUUGUUCCCCACACAUUUUGCCCCAUUUCUUCUCUUCUCUGUAGUCUCCUUCCUCGCUGGGAGGGCUGCGCUGUGUGCUUACCCUGCUCCCUGUCUCUUCCCAAGUAGUCAUUCAUCCCUGCUCCCUCCAGCGCCCUAGCAAGGAGCUGGGGCAGAGACAAACCCGAUGCUCCUUCGAAUGCUAUUAGGGAGACAAAAUGAAAACUAGCCCAUUAGAACUAAGUAGUGACAAGAAAUAGUAAAUUCAUAGAAGCGGUUAUGCAGUGAAUCAGACUCAUUUCCUCCGGGCCCCUGCUCACAUGACUACUUUUCUACAAAGCCUUCUCUGACUCUCCUUGGCAGGUCCCAUUACACCUUGUUCACACCUCUAUUACAUUGCUUAGAAGUGACAUGAAAAUAGAAGCAUUCUAUCUUAGUUACUUGACUUCAUAAGUAGUCCAAUUUCUAGACUGUUUAUCCCUUUAACAACUACUUAAUAAACAAAAAUGUCUUCGUUAAACAGACAUUUGUGGGGAGGGGGGCAAAAUGGGUGAAGGGGGUGAAAAGGUACAAACUCCAGCUAUCGAAUAAAUGUCAUGGGGAUGUAAUGUACAGCAUGGUGACUAUAGUUAGUAAUACUGUAUUGCAUUUUGGAAGCUGCUAAGAAAGAAAGUAGAUCUUAAAAGUUCUCAUCACAAUAAAAAACAUUUUGUAACGAUGUAUGGUGAUGAAUGCUAACCAGACUUAUUGCGGUGAUCAUUUUGCAGUAUAUAAAAAUACCAAAUCACCAUGUUGUACACCUGAAACUAAUAUAAUGUUAUACGUCAAUUAUACCUCAAUAAAAAAAUUUCUAAAUAAAAC